rnacentral:sRNA from 1 species
GCCAGGUGUGGUGGUGCACACCUGUAAUCGUAGUGGCUCAGGAGGCUGAGGCAUGAGGAUCAUGAGUUCAAAGCCAGCCUCAGCAAUGCAAGACCCUAAGCAAUUCAGUGAGACCUUGUCUCUA